rnacentral:rRNA from 1 species
GAUGAACGCUAGCGGGAGGCCUAACACAUGCAAGUCGAACGGUAGAGGGGGCAACCCCUUGAGAGUGGCGAACGGGUGAGUAAUAUAUCGGAACGUGCCCAGUCGUGGGGGAUAACGUAGCGAAAGUUACGCUAAUACCGCAUACGAUCUAAGGAUGAAAGCGGGGGACCGUAAGGCCUCGCGCGAUUGGAGCGGCCGAUAUCAGAUUAGGUAGUUGGUGGGGUAAAGGCUCACCAAGCCAACGAUCUGUAGCUGGUCUGAGAGGACGACCAGCCACACUAGAACUGAGACACGGUCCAGACUCCUACGGGAGGCAGCAGUGGGGAAUUUGGACAAUGGACGCAAGCCUGAUCCAGCAAUGCCGCGUGCAGGAAGAAGGCC